rnacentral:rRNA from 1 species
CAGCAGCCGCGGGAAUACAGAGGGUGCAAGCGUUAAUCGGAAUUACUGGGCGUAAAGCGCGCGUAGGUGGUUUGUUAAGUUGGAUGUGAAAUCCCCGGGCUCAACCUGGGAACUGCAUUCAAAACUGACUGACUAGAGUAUGGUAGAGGGUGGUGGAAUUUCCUGUGUAGCGGUGAAAUGCGUAGAUAUAGGAAGGAACACCAGUGGCGAAGGCGACCACCUGGACUAAUACUGACACUGAGGUGCGAAAGCGUGGGGAGCAAACAGGAUUAGAUACCCCAGUAGUCCCUGUCUCUUAUAC